rnacentral:lncRNA from 1 species
CUCUACAGUAGUGCUCUACCGCCUUCUUCAGCAGUCUCAUACUGUGUCACAGCAGGAAACCCAGUGCUGGGAAAUAAGUGCAGCACGUUGUGAAAUAUUAUUAGUUGUACCUCUUAUGUGGGACAUAUUUAGAAACCCUAUGCCUGUUCAUGUCACUGAAAUACCUUGUUGUAAUUUUUCCUAUGCUCAACAGUGCGGGAGUGAAGCUGUCCACCCAGUGUUAAGAUAGUGGAGGAGGAGCCAGUGACCAGGGUGCACUGGGUGAAGUGAACAACCUACAGUAAAAGUCAGUGCUGAAGAUGAUUGCAACAUGUCAGCCUCAUGAGGCAAGGCAUGGGGUCCCUUUUGACUGGCAAGCUGGAGAAAAGGCCCUCGGACAGCAGGAGCGUGAGAUCAGGUACUGUUUCUUUCAAGCAUAAUAUCCAUCUUUUCUCCAGGCAUUCCUCAGUUCCCCUGAGAUCAGUGUAUCACAUCCAACAAAAAUGAAGUCAGCACACACCAAGUUAA